GGGGAUUUGGCUCAGUGGUAGAGCACUUGCCUAGCAACCGCAAGGCCCUGGGUUCGGUCCCCAGCUCCA
rfam:Rattus norvegicus chromosome 16, whole genome shotgun sequence.